AUUGAACGCUGGCGGCAGGCCUAACACAUGCAAGUCGAGCGGAUGAGAGGAGCUUGCUCCUUGAUUCAGCGGCGGACGGGUGAGUAAUGCCUAGGAAUCUGCCUGGUAGUGGGGGACAACGUUUCGAAAGGAACGCUAAUACCGCAUACGUCCUACGGGAGAAAGCAGGGGACCUUCGGGCCUUGCGCUAUCAGAUGAGCCUAGGUCGGAUUAGCUAGUAGGUGGGGUAAUGGCCCACCUAGGCGACGAUCCGUAACUGGUCUGAGAGGAUGAUCAGUCACACUGGAACUGAGACACGGUCCAGACUCCUACGGGAGGCAGCAGUGGGGAAUAUUGGACAAUGGGCGAAAGCCUGGUCCAGCCAUGCCGCGUGUGUGAAGAAGGUCUUCGGAUUGUAAAGCACUUUAAGUUGGGAGGAAGGGCAGUUAGUUAAUACCUGACUGUUUUGACGUUACCAACAGAAUAAGCACCGGCUACCUUCGUGCCAGCAGCCGCCGUAA
rnacentral:rRNA from 1 species